GUGGGCAAUCUGCCCUGCACUCUGGGACAAGCCCUGGAAACGGGGUCUAAUACCGGAUAUGAGCUUCCGCCGCAUGGCGGGGGCUGUAAAGCUCCGGCGGUGCAGGAUGAGCCCGCGGCCUAUCAGCUUGUUGGUGAGGUAACGGCUCACCAAGGCGACGACGGGUAGCCGGCCUGAGAGGGCGACCGGCCACACUGGGACUGAGACACGGCCCAGACUCCUACGGGAGGCAGCAGUGGGGAAUAUUGCACAAUGGGCGCAAGCCUGAUGCAGCGACGCCGCGUGAGGGAUGACGGCCUUCGGGUUGUAAACCUCUUUCAGCAGGGAAGAAGCGCAAGUGACGGUACCUGCAGAAGAAGCGCCGGCUAACUACGUGCCAGCAGCCGCGGUAAUACGUAGGGCGCGAGCGUUGUCCGGAAUUAUUGGGCGUAAAGAGCUCGUAGGCGGCUUGUCGCGUCGGUUGUGAAAGCCCGGGGCUUAACCCCGGGUCUGCAGUCGAUACGGGCAGGCUAGAGUUCGGUAGGGGAGAUCGGAAUUCCUGGUGUAGCGGUGAAAUGCGCAGAUAUCAGGAGGAACACCGGUGGCGAAGGCGGAUCUCUGGGCCGAUACUGACGCUGAGGAGCGAAAGCGUGGGGAGCGAACAGGAUUAGAUACCCUGGUAGUCCACGCCGUAAACGGUGGGCACUAGGUGUGGGCGACAUUCCACGUCGUCCGUGCCGCAGCUAACGCAUUAAGUGCCCCGCCUGGGGAGUACGGCCGCAAGGCUAAAACUCAAAGGAAUUGACGGGGGC
rnacentral:rRNA from 1 species